UUGUGUUUAUUUAAAACAAUU
rnacentral:piRNA from 1 species